CUCGCCUACUCCUUGUAAAGCAACACGGAAUUGGUCUUUCCCCCUUCCUCUUCCCUCCCUCCGCCUUUCUGGUCCAACGAAAGUACAGAGAAGUCCGGCCGAAAGGAGACGGGCUGGGGAAGUCGUUGACACUGGGAUGGAAAGAGGAAGGACAUUUUCUGGGGGCUAAGAAAAUCCGUGGACUCAUUUUCCUUGAAGGAGCGGAAGGGUUGCUUGCAGACUGCACGGUGACGUCAACGUCUCCCGACCCCAUGGAGGAGGCGUGUGGUGGCCGGGGAGUGUGCUGCGCAUGCGCCUGGGGAAGAAAGAGGCUGCCGAGCGCUGCGCUUGGGGGAAGGUAGCUCACGAUCGGCUCCUCUGGUCCAGCCUUAGGGUAGCUUGGUUUUAUCUAGCGCUACUCGUCUCCAGCGUCUUAGAAUGAUUCACUGGAAAGGGGAUACUGUUCUCUUGGGUGGAGAUCUUGCAAAUUUGUUGACCUGGCAAAAUAUUAUGUGUUCUCUUACCAUUGACGUGUAAAUAGAAUUGCGGUUUUUCUCGCUGCCACAUCGUGUGGGUGGAGGGAGAUUCUAAAGGGUUUUAGAAAUCGGAAAAUGAGGGAGAAUCAAAUGAUGGGUGCUUAAGGCCUCUGUGAAAAACUAUAAACUAUGCUGCUGACGGGGAGGAACCUGUUUGGCAAUGCGCCAAUUGGAUUUUAUCCACUUAACCAACACGUCUGGGUAUUUCAGAAUAGGUUUUAUUACCAGGUACUUAACGAGUGUGUGGUGACAUAAAUGGGUUUUAUUUGGGGUUCUGUUACUACAAAGAGUAACUUUUUGCUAUUUUAAUUGAUUUAAUUAUUUAAAGCUAUGUAGUAUUACAGAAAGUAUUGAAAGAGGAAGAGCUAGAUCUCCAUUUAUAGAAGUCCCGUUUUUUUUCCAUUUCUGUCUUUCAUAUACUUGUUUUGUCAGUGAAAAAAUAUGUAUUGAGCUUAUUUAGUGGCCAGAGUCUCAGCAAACUAGAAGUAGCCCAGACAGACAUAGCUCCUGCCUUCAUGGAGUUUACAGUCCAAACAGAGGAUAACCAUUGAGCUAUCAGUAUGUAAAAUUACCAAGUGCAUUUAUUUGUUCACUGUAUCCCCUCCCUAGAAUAUAAGGUCGCAAGUGGCAGGGAUCUUGCAUGUUUUGUUUCACCUUGUAUCCCUGCAUAUAAAAGGCUCUCAAUAUUUGACCAAGUAAACAAUUCUAUAUCAAAACCAUUAAGAUGGAAAGUCUCCGGCUGCUAUGGAAACACUUGCCUUUCUCCUGGUUUGGGAUAUCAGAGGUUUUUCUGAAGAAGUGACAUUUAAGAUGAGACUUGAAACCACUGGGCAAAGAAUGAUACAAGCAGAGGAAGCUAUGUGAAAAGGCUCCGAAGCUGGGACGUUUCUAAGAAUCUCUGAAAGCUAGUGUGGUUGGCCCUCAGACAACUGAGGCAGGAUGUGGAAGCAGAGGACAGAUGCCAUAGAACAGAAGAAGGAAUGGGAAGUCCCAUGGGAAGCCCUAGGAGGAUUUCAAGGCAAGAUGGCUCAUGCCUGUAAUCCUAGCACUUUGGGAAGCCAAGGCAGGCGAAUCACCCAAGAUCAUGAGUUCAAGACCAGCCUGUCCAACAUGGUGAAACCCCAUCUCUACUAAAACGACAAAAAUUAGCCAGGUGUGGUGGUGUGUGCCUGUAGUCCC
rnacentral:lncRNA from 1 species